UACGUAGGUGACCAGCGUUGUCCGGAUUUACUGGGCGUAAAGAGCGCGCAGGCGGUCGUUCAAGUCGAGUGUGAAAGCCCCCGGCUCAACUGGGGAGGGUCACUCGAUACUGAUCGACUUGAAGGCAGGAGAGGGAAGCGGAAUUCCCGGUGUAGUGGUGAAAUGCGUAGAUAUCGGGAGGAAUACCAGUGGCGAAGGCGGCUGCCUGGCCUGUUCUUGACGCUGAGGCGCGAAAGCUGGGGGAGCAAACGGG
rnacentral:rRNA from 1 species